rnacentral:rRNA from 1 species
UACGAAGGGGGCUAGCGUUGCUCGGAAUCACUGGGCGUAAAGGGUGCGUAGGCGGGUCUUUAAGUCAGGGGUGAAAUCCUGGAGCUCAACUCCAGAACUGCCUUUGAUACUGAGGAUCUUGAGUUCGGGAGAGGUGAGUGGAACUGCGAGUGUAGAGGUGAAAUUCGUAGAUAUUCGCAAGAACACCAGUGGCGAAGGCGGCUCACUGGCCCAUAACUGACGCUGAGGCACGAAAGCGUGGGGAGCAACAGG